GGCCGGUUAGCUCAGCUGGUUAGAGCGUGGUGCUAAUAACGCUAAGGUCGCGGGUUCGAUACCCGUACUGGCCA
rnacentral:tRNA from 2 species